rnacentral:sRNA from 1 species
GCCGGGCGUGGUGGCUCACGCCUGUAAUCCAAGUACUUUGGAGGCCAAGGCAGGUGGAUCACCUGAGGUCGGGAGUUCAAGACCAGCCUGACCAACAUGGUGAAACCCUGUCUUAA